UAACCAGGGUGACAGGGUCCCCGCUAUGUGCUCAAAAAGGAACCCCUCCCCAGCAUCUUCCUUGAUCAUCAAGAGCAUCAGUGUCUGGGGAGCUGGGGGUCUGAGUGGAAGUGAGGAUAGUGGGAGCCCAGCAGGGGCAUAGCAGACAGCAUAGGGGGCACUCCAGAGGCCAGGGCAGGGUGACCUUAGCUGCCAGAACAAGAAGAUUCAUAUGUUUUCCAGCAUGCCACUGGACAAGAAAAAAGAUCUUUGUACCUCAGUGAGCUGAGCUGCAUGCCAGUCUUCCUGAAUUUGGGAAGAAGACAGUGCAAAUGAAGGCAAACAGUUCCCACAACUGAAACAGGGAGUGCACUGGAGCAAGAAGCCUUUGUGUUAAAGGUACCCCUCAACGGUGGAGUGAAGCAUGUUUUAUCACAUACCAUUGCCAAUAUGAAUCGAUGGUACAAACCCCAGUCAACACAAACUGCUUGGAAAGCCAUUUCAUGCAAACACAAAGGUAAGACCCCAGCUUUGGGAGUUUUGCUCUGUGGGAGGUACUGAAUUGAAAG